AAGAGGUUAGUCCAACAAAGAUAUCUGAUUUCGACUCAGAAGAUUAUGGUUAAAAUCCAUAACCCCUUU
rnacentral:tRNA from 1 species